CAGUCGAGCGGAUGAUUGGAGCUUGCUCCAUGAUUCACGGCGGACGGGUGAGUAAUGCCUAGGAAUCUGCCUGGUAGUGGGGGACAACGUUUCGAAAGGAACGCUAAUACCGCAUACGUCCUACGGGAGAAAGUGGGGGAUCUUCGGACCUCACGCUAUCAGAUGAGCCUAGGUCGGAUUAGCUAGUUGGUGAGGUAAAGGCUCACCAAGGCGACGAUCCGUAACUGGUCUGAGAGGAUGAUCAGUCACACUGGAACUGACACACGGUCCAGACUCCUAC
rnacentral:rRNA from 1 species